rnacentral:rRNA from 1 species
UUGGAGGGCAAGUCUGGUGCCAGCAGCCGCGGUAAUUCCAGCUCCAAUAGCGUAUAUUAAAGUUGUUGUGGUUAAAAAGCUCGUAGUAGAAGCUCGGGCUCCGGCCGACUGGUCCGCCUCACCGCGUGCACUGGUUCGACCGGGCCUUCACCUUCUGCGGAACCGCAUCUCCUUCACUGGGGGUGUCGGGGAAACAGGACGUUUACUGUGAAAAAAUUAGAGUGCUCCAGGCAGGCCUAUGCUCGAAUAGAUUAGCAUGGAAUAAUGGAA